rnacentral:rRNA from 1 species
ACUUUGAAGAGUUUGAUCCUGGCUCAGGAUGAACGCUAGCUACAGGCUUAACACAUGCAAGUCGAGGGGCAUCAGGAAGAAAGCUUGCUUUCUUUGCUGGCGACCCCGCGACGGGUGAGUAACACGUAUCCAACCUGCCCUUUACUCGGGGAUAGCCUUUCGAAAGAAAGAUUAAUACCCGUAGCAUAAUGAUUCCGCAUGGUUUCAUUAAUUAAAGGAUUCCGGUAAAGGAUCCCGAUGCGUUCCAUUAGGUUGUUGGUGAGGUAACGGCUCACCAAGCCUUCGAUGGAUAGGGGUUCUGAGAGGAAGGUCCCCCACAUUGGAACUGAGACACGGUCCAAACUCCUACGGGAGGCAGCAGUGAGGAAUAUUGGUCAAUGGGCGCUAGCCUGAACCAGCCAAGUAGCGUGAAGGAUGUUGGCUCUAUGGGUCGUAAACUUCAAAAUACUAAGUUUAAAGUGCAGUAUGUAUACUGUUUUGUAUGUAAAAUAUGAAUAAGGAUCGGCUAACUCCGUGCCAGCAGCCGCGGUAAUACGGAGGAUCCGAGCGUUAUCCGGAUUUAUUGGGUUUAAAGGGAGCGUAGGUGGACUGGUAAGUCAGUUGUGAAAGUUUGCGGCUCAACCGUUUUUUUGCAGUUGAUACUGUCAGUCUUGAGUACAGUAGAGGUGGGCGGAAUUCGUGGUGUAGCGGUGUUUUGCUUAGAUAUCACGAAGAACUCCGAUUGCGAAGGCAGCUCACUGGACUGCAACUGACACUGAUGCUCGAAAGUGUGGGUAUCAAACAGGAUUAGAUACCCUGGUAGUCCACACAGUAAACGAUGAAUACUCGCUGUAAGCGAUAUACAGUAAGCGGCCAAGCGAAAGCAUUAAGUAAACCACCUGGGGAGUACGCCGGCAACGGUGAAACACAAAGGAAUUGACGGGGGCCCGCACAAGCGGAGGAACAUGUGGUUUAAUUCGAUGAUACGCGAGGAACCAAACCCGGGCUUAAAUUGCAGUGGAAUGAUGUGGAAACAUGUCAGUGAGCAAUCACCGCUGUGAAGGUGCAGCAUGGUUGUCGUCAGCUCGUGCCGUGAGGUGUGCCGUUAAGUGCCAUAACGAGCGCAACCCUUAUCAAAAGUUACUAACAGGUUAUGCUGAGGACUCUAGAGAGACUGCCGUCGUAAGAUGUGAGGAAGGUGGGGAUGACGUCAAAUCAGCACGGCCCUUACGUCCGGGGCUACACACGUGUUACAAUGGGGGGUACAGAAGGCAGCUAGCGGGUGACCGUAUGCUAAUCCCUUUUUCCUCUCUCAGUUCGGAUCGAAGUCUGCAACCCGACUUCGUGAAGCUGGAUUCGCUAGUAAUCGCGCAUCAGCCACGGCGCGGUGAAUACGUUCCCGGGCCUUGUACACACCGCCCGUCAAGCCAUGGGAGCCGGGGGUACCUGAAGUACGUAACCGCAAGGAUCGUCCUAGGGUAAAACUGGUGACUGGGGCUAAGUCGUAACAAGGUAGCCGUACCGGAACCUGCCCCUGGUUCACCUCCUUU